rnacentral:misc_RNA from 1 species
AGAGUUGGGCCAUGGCAGACCCGGCAGUGGAGGCAGGCCGUUUCAUCGCUGAGAUGCAUCCAUGGUGGUCAGAAGACGUCAUGAAGAAGCCCCCGAUGCCGUUGAAGUUAACUACGGCUUAUCUCGCGUUUCUCGUUCGCGGCGAGAAAUGGACACCGGAAAAGACUCCGCAGACUGAAGCAAUUCAAAAGGCGCACCUUGAAAACAUAAACCGGCUCGCAGAAAUGAAGAAGCUCGUCGUUGCCGGGCCAUUUGGGGACAACGGGAAACUACGCGGCAUCUUUGUAUUUCGCGCGGG